rnacentral:ncRNA from 1 species
AAGCACAAAGGUUUGGUCCUGGCCUUACUGUUAAUUUUUAUUAGACCUACACAUGCAAGUUUCCUCAACCCGGUGAGUAUGCCCUUUUAACUUCCAUUGAGUUUAAAGGAGCGGGUAUCAGGCACACUUACAAAAGUAGCCCAUGACACCUUGUUUAACCACACCCCCACGGUUUAUAGCAGUGACUAACAUUGAACUAUAAAUGAAAGCUUGACUAAAUCGUAAUAAAAAGAGUUGGUAAAUCUUGUGCCAGCCACUGCGGUCAUACAACUAACCCAAAUUAACAGAAGAACGGCAUAAAAGGUGUUUAAGCAUUCAACCUACCAAAUAAAAUUAAAGCUCAACUGCAUUGUAAUAUGCCCUAGUUGAUAUUAAAAUACGCAACUUACGUGACUUUACCCAUGCUGAAGACACUAAAGCUAAGGCACAAACUGGGAUUAGAGACCCCACUAUGCUUAGCCGUAAACCAAGGUAAUUAAAUAACAAAAUUACUCACCAGAGAACUACUAGCCACUGCUUAAAACUCAAAGGACUUGGUGGUGCCCUAGACCCUCCUAGAGGAGCCUGUUCUAUAAUCGAUAAACCGAUAAAUCUAUAAAUUGAUAAAAAAAAAGGUGUAUCGACAUCUUACUCCUUCUCAUUUAUCAGUCUAUACACUGCCAUCAUCAGCUCACCUCAACAGGGUCCCAAAGUGAGCAAAAUCAUGAAACCAUAAAAAUGUUAGGUCAAGGUGUAGCAUAUGAAGGGGGAAGCAAUGGGCUACAUUUUCUAUGUUAGAACACAAUGGAUUGUCUAUUGAAAAAAAGACAUGAAGGAGGAUUUAGUAAUAAAUUAAGAAUAGAGAGCUUAACUGAAAUAGGCAAUAGGGUGCGUACACACCGCCCGUCACCCUCCUCAAUAAAGUAACCUUUAAUACCUAAUAAGAAUAUGCCAAAAAGAGGAGAAAGGUCGUAACAUGGUAAGUGUACUGGAAAGUGCACUUGGACAAUCAAAAUG